rnacentral:rRNA from 2 species
UGGGAAGUAUUGACAAUGGGCGAAAGCCUGAUCCAGCCAUGCCGCGUGAGUGAUGAAGGCCUUAGGGUUGUAAAGCUCUUUCAGUGGGAAGAUAAUGACGGUACCCACAGAAGAAGCCCGGCUCACUUCGUGCCAGCAGCCGCGGUAAUACGAAGGGCGUAGCGUUGUUCGGAUUUACUGGGCGUAAAGCGCACGUAGGCGGAUCGUUAAGUCGGGGUGAAAUCCUGGAGCUCAACUCCAGAACUGCCUUCGAUACUGGCGAUCUAGAGUCCGGAAGAGGUGAGUGGAACUCCUAGUGUAGAGGUGGAAUUCGUAGAUAUUAGGAAGAACACCAGUGGCGAAGGCGGCUUCACUGGUCCGGUACUGACGCUGAGGUGCGAAAGCGUGGGGAGCAAACA